rnacentral:rRNA from 1 species
CAAUAGCGUAUAUUUAAGUUGUUGCAGUUAAAAAGCUCGUAGUCGGAUUUUGGCUGAGAACGAUCGGUCCGCCGUUAGGUGUGCACUGAUUGGUCUCAGCUUCCUGGUGAGGAGGUGUGCUUCACGGCCACUUAGUCACCGUGGUUACUUUGAAAAAAUUAGAGUGUUCAAAGCGGGCUUACGCUUGAAUAUUUCAGCAUGGAAUAACACUAUAGGACUCCUGUCCUAUUUCGUUGGUCUCGGGACGGGAGUAAUGAUUAAGAGGAACAGUUGGGGGCAUUCGUAUUUCAUUGUCAGAGGUGAAAUUCUUGGAUUUAUGAAAGACGAACUACUGCGAAAGCAUUUGCCAAGGAUGUUUUCAUUGA